rnacentral:rRNA from 1 species
CGAAGAACCUUACCAGGUCUUGACAUCCCGAUGCUAUUUCUAGAGAUAGAAAGUUACUUCGGUACAUCGGAGACAGGUGCUGCAUGGCUGUCGUCAGCUCGUGUCGUGAGAUGUUGGGUUAAGUCCCGCAACGAGCGCAACCCUUGUCCUUAGUUGCCAUCAUUUAGUUGGGCACUCUAAGGGAGACUGCCGGUGUUAAAACCGGAGGAAGGUGGGGAUGACGUCAAGUCCUCAUGGCCCUUAUGUCCAGGGCUACACACGUGCUACAAUGGCCGGUACAAAGGGGCGCAAGACCGCGAGGUGGAGCAAAUCCCAAAAAACCGGUCUCAGUUCGGAUUGGAGUCUGCAACUCGACUGCGUGAAGUCGGAAUCGCUAGUAAUCGCGGAUCAGCUUGCCGCGGUGAAUACGUUCCCGGGUCUU